UACGGAGGGUGCAAGCGUUAUCCGGAAUCACUGGGUUUAAAGGGAGCGUAGGCGGCUUUGUAAGUCAGGGGUGAAAGCCCGCAGCUUAACUGCGGAACUGCCUUUGAUACUGCAGAGCUUGAAAGAGGUUGAGGUCAGUGGAACGUGACAUGUAGCGGUGAAAUGCAUAGAUAUGUCACAGAACACCAAUUGCGAAGGCAGCUGGCUGGGCCUACUUUUACGCUGAGGUACGAAAGCGUGGGGAGCGAACAGG
rnacentral:rRNA from 1 species